rnacentral:rRNA from 1 species
AACGCGAAGAACCUUACCUGGGCUCGAAAUGUAGAGGACGAUAUCAGAGAUGAUAUUUCUCGAAAGGGUCUCUAUAUAGGUGCUGCAUGGCUGUCGUCAGCUCGUGCCGUGAGGUGUUUGGUUAAGUCCAGCAACGAGCGCAACCCUUAUCGUUAGUUGCCAGCGCGUAAAGGCGGGAACUCUAACGAGACUGCCUGGGUUAACCAGGAGGAAGGUGAGGAUGACGUCAAGUCCGCAUGGCCUUUAUGUCCAGGGCUACACACGUGCUACAAUGGUCGGUACAGAAGGCAGCGAAACCGCAAGGCGAAGCAAAUCCUGAAAAACCGAUCUCAGUUCGGAUUGUAGUCUGCAACUCGGCUACAUGAAGUUGGAAUUGCUAGUAAUGGCGUGUCAGCAACAACGCCGUGAAUACGUUCCCGGGCCUUGUA